rnacentral:rRNA from 1 species
CGGAGGAUCCAAGCGUUAUCCGGAAUCAUUGGGUUUAAAGGGUCCGUAGGCGGGUUUAUAAGUCAGUGGUGAAAGCCCAUCGCUCAACGAUGGAACGGCCAUUGAUACUGUAGAUCUUGAAUUAUUAGGAAGUAACUAGAAUAUGUAGUGUAGCGGUGAAAUGCUUAGAGAUUACAUGGAAUACCAAUUGCGAAGGCAGGUUACUACUAAUGGAUUGACGCCGAUGGACGAAAGCGUGGGUAGCGAACAGGAUUAGAUACCCUGGUAGUCCACGCCGUAAACGAUGGAUACUAGCUGUUCGGAGCAAUCUGAGUGGCUAAGCGAAAGUGAUAAGUAUCCCACCUGGGGAGUACGUUCGCAAGAAUG